UACGAAGGGAGCUAGCGUUGUUCGGAAUCACUGGGCGUAAAGGGUGCGUAGGCGGGCCUUUAAGUCCGGGGUGAAAUCCUGGAGCUCAACUCCAGAACUGCCUUUGAUACUGAGGAUCUUGAGUUCGGGAGAGGUGAGUGGAACUGCGAGUGUAGAGGUGAAAUUCGUAGAUAUUCGCAAGAACACCAGUGGCGAAGGCGGCUCACUGGCCCGAUACUGACGCUGAGGCACGAAAGCGUGGGGAGCAAACAGG
rnacentral:rRNA from 1 species